rnacentral:lncRNA from 1 species
ACUUUCAGAGAAAUGCCAGCAAAAGCUAUAGUCAUUUGGGGAAGAACAAGUCUGGAAGAAAAAUACACAGUGGAGUAGGACCAAGAGGCUAAUGACUCUGACUGGCACACGAUAAGAGGGAGAAGGAAUGACCUCAAUGGCCCCAGAGGAGUCUGGAGCAGAGAACAAGGCAUCCUCAGGCCUAGCACCGUUCUUUGGUACCCAGUCCCCCUGUCAACCACCACAGUAAGUACCUGCCUUCCUUUGAGUCCUGUAAGCCAGCACAGCACACCCCACUGGAAAGGAGGACUGAGUUGUGAGUGCUACAGGUACUGUGUCCAUGCUGUCCUGGCCUUUGAGGCUUUGUGUUUCUAUAUGGUCUACUCAUUGCAUUUCAACUCCAAUUUCUCCGGUAUAUAGCUUGGCCUUGACUUUCCUCUCUGGCCCUCAAGUCUCUGCAUACCUCUUCCCUAGUUCUAUCCCUAUGCUCACUUAAUCCACUUCACAGCUACUCAGAUUCUCAUGAAAGGAGGGUUUGACAAUGCAUAAUAUAUCAGAGUACAAACUAUGGACCAACUUGCACCUUUAUUCAUCCCUACCUUUACCAUGGCCAUCGUACCAUGCACAAGGUUUACUCUGGGCAUAAUUGGAAGUAGAGAGAUUGUUACAGACUGAGGUCCUGUUAGGUAAGGACAUGAGAAAUGUGCCAUCAAAUCACUGGUCAACAACAAACAAAGAUGGCUACGACAAUUCUUCCAAAUCUGUGCACAUGUCUCUUUGGAAUGCAAGUUUGCCACUCUCCCAUUAAGACCUAGUGUCCAUUUCCCCUCUCCUUGAAUAUAAGUUGGCCCUGAGACUUGAAGAAGGCCAUGGAAGGGACAGCAUAUGACCUCAGAGCCUUGGCCUCAAAGGCCAGCUUUUGCUUUCAUGUUCUUGCUUGGCCUGAGACCACCACAUGAGAGAGUGACCAGUCUCCAAGAGGAUAGAGACUGCUACCAGCCAAAGGGUAGAACCAACCUUGAGAAAUGUGAAUGGGACCCUCAAGCCUCAGCUGUGUUGUGAGAUGACUGCAGCCCUAUCAGUAACCCCAGGCUGGCCAGCAAAAGAAUCACCCAGCUGAGCCCUGGCUUCUCAGAUCUCAGACCUUCUCUACCCAAAGUGCUAAAACAUAGAAAUUUAUAAGCAGACAAUUUUAAGUAGGUUUUGGAAAGAUUUAUUAUAAAGAAAUAGCUAACUGAUAAAACUCCAAAUCAAAACCAAGAAGAAACUCAGUCUCUCUUAUAUUAUCAUGAUAUAACAUACUGUCCUAAUAGUCAUCAUUAAACCAUUAAAGCUUUGUAUAUUCCAUUCUACUACUGCUGCUCCUUCUGCUGCUACUGCCAUUGCUCCUCCUCGUGCUGCUGCUGCUACCACUACUACUACUACUACUACUACUACUACUACUACUACUACAACACACACACACACACACACACACACACACACACACACGCAUUCAAUAUCCUACCUGCUCUACUCAGAUGUUCUUUGGGGCUUUUAAUUUAUCUGUGUCCAUACUACAAUAUUUCCAGUUCAGUCCUUUGAACUAGUCCCAUUCCCUUAUUUCCAGACUUUCUUGUCUAUGAAGAGUAGCUAUCACUUACUAUGUACCAGAAACUGUUGAUUUCUCACCAUCAGCUUAUCAGACUGACAACCAUUACUCUGCUUAGAGAAAGCUGAGGUACAGUAAAUUAAGUCUACUCAAGGUCACAGAGCUAGUAAUGGGUGAUGGAGCUAGGAUAUGAAUUCAGGCAGGAAGGCUCAAGUCUAUGCCCUUACAGUCUACACUAGGCUGUACUACACUCUUUAGGUGACUACCCCCAGGCACUCUAAUCUUUACAUGUUCAAAGCCAAACUCAUCCUUUUCUCUCACAAACCUCACAUUCCCUACUUUGAUAAAUAAUUAUCAAUUACUUAUAUGCCCAAAGAAGAAAGCUCCACAUUUGAUGAGAACCACAUCCUACAAAAUCCAUGCUUUCAUGCCUUACAUCAGGAUAUCAUUAAUUCCAUCUUAAUUACAAACAGGCUUGUUGCUAGUCUCCUUACCUGUGACUGGAUGGCUCAGUCACUUUUUAUUUCUACUGUCUUUUUCUUUUCCCCAGUUCAUGUCUACAUUACAACCAUGAACGAUAUACAUUGUCAGCAGAGUAGCUGACCUUGAGAGGUGCAAGAUAGUUGGCCAUACUGGUAUGAUUGUGGUUAUGUGUGACUGUUAGUGCCUGUGUGUGUCUGUGUUUGUAGGAGGUAAGUGCUGCUUGAGGAUAGGCAACCAACUCCUUCCAGUUUUCCCUAGACUUUCCCUAUUUUAGCACUUGAAGUCCUGCAUCCCAGGAAACUGCUCCCUCCCAGGCAAACCAGGACAACUGGAAAGUCUUCCUGAGAGAGCAACUGGGUACAGGAUUUAACUAAAUGACUGAGUGUGGAAGGCUGUGCUGACAUUCUGCCUCCAAUGAAGUCAGUUCAAAUUUUGGCUUUUCUCUUUCUCUUACAAAAUUAACCAGAAAGAGAGGUGAUAAUACCACCAAUUUCUUAAACCCUCAUUUAAAUCAAUCUGUUACAUUUGGAAUGGAUAAGCAAUAGGGUCCUACUGUAUAGCAAAGGAAAUUACGUUCAAUCUCUUGGGUUAGAACAUGAUGGAAGAUAGUAUGAAAAAAAUGUACAUAUAUGUAUGACUGGGUCACUUUGCUGUGCAACAGAAACUGAAAGAACAUUGUAAAUCAACUGUACUUUAAUAAAAACUUUUAAAAGAAAUUAAAAAAUAAGUCUACCAGCAUCUUCUGAAACAAAUGACUAUCACUUCCUUCUGAAAAUAUUGUCUUCACUUGGUUUCUAGCCUUCACACUCUGAUUUUUCUCUAACCUUAAUUUCUCAAUCUCCUUUGAUGACUCCUCUUUCAUCAUCUACCUUAAUGCUGUAAAGCUGCAAUUUUCUAUGUUUAACCCUAUGAUUUUUCUCUAAUAGAAUCCACCAGACAGGUGACCUUAUUGAGCAAACUCUCAAGUUCAAAAUCAACUGCAUGACAGAUAUAAAAUCAAGAAGAGGAGAUCAAAAUGUUACCUUUGCUACUGAUUUUUAACAUAUUUAUGUUAGAGAAUAUGGUAUGAGUCAUAGAGUAACUGGAUUUGCUAAGACUUUGCCAACUAACCCAUUCAAUCAUAGGAACAUUUGGACAACCACAGGCUUCUUCCAAUGCAAACUGACUUUUGAAAAACUCACAGCAUGGAAGAUUAGAAAAUGUGAGAAAAAGAAUAUCUAUAUACAUAUAAUAUAUGACUGGGUCACUUUGCUAUAUAGCAAAAAUUGACAGAACGUUGUAAAUCAACUAUAAUUUAAAAAA